rnacentral:rRNA from 1 species
CAGUAGCCACGGGAAUACGGAGGGGGCUAGCGUUGUUCGGAAUUACUGGGCGUAAAGGGCGUGUAGGCGGCCUGGGGCGUCCCAUGUGAAAGGCCACGGCUCAACCGUGGAGGAGCGUGGGAUACGCUCAGGCUAGAGGGUGGGAGAGGGUGGUGGAAUUCCCGGAGUAGCGGUGAAAUGCGCAGAUACCGGGAGGAACGCCGAUGGCGAAGGCAGCCACCUGGUCCACUUCUGACGCUGGGGCGCGAAAGCGUGGGGAGCAAACCGGAUUAGAUACCCCAGUAGUCCCUGUCUCUUAUAC